UACGGAGGGUGCAAGCGUUAUCCGGAUUCACUGGGUUUAAAGGGUGCGUAGGCGGGCAGGUAAGUCAGUGGUGAAAUCUCCGAGCUUAACUCGGAAACUGCCGUUGAUACUAUUUGUCUUGAAUAUUGUGGAGGUAAGCGGAAUAUGUCAUGUAGCGGUGAAAUGCUUAGAUAUGACAUAGAACACCAAUUGCGAAGGCAGCUUACUACACAACGAUUGACGCUGAGGCACGAAAAGCGUGGGGGAUCAAAACAGG
rnacentral:rRNA from 1 species